UGUAGUGUGUGUGUGUGUGUGUGUGUGUGUGUGUGUGUGUGUUUUCAGUGUGUUUCUGGAGACGUCGUCUACCUUUCCCCUCAGUGACGGGGCUCAUCAAGGCUUCGUUUGUGAAGUCAGUGGCGUGUUAUUUCUUUUCACUUCCGCAUUUGUGUCUGAGACUUUUGCACAGUGUUUCUAUUAAGUCCAAACGGGCCGAGUUGCACGGGCUGCUGAUUUAAAAGCACACACACUUGGGUCGUGGAUGGUGAUUUUGUUUUUUGUUUGUUUGUUUGUUUUGUUUUGUUUUUUUUAAAUAAAUGUUAAUUUCAUGUACAGCAAAGUGCUUGGAAACCAAAUGUUCUCUUAAAGUGUUUCUGCUGUGUUUAUUCAAUGCUGAUGGAGGAAAAAAUAUUUAAUAUUUUAUCGCUUUCAAUCUACAGUUAAGAGUCGAUUGAUUUACUAAAUGAAAUCAUUCCGUAAAUAAAUAAAUUUAGUAAAUCAUUGGAGAUUUAUGUAGGCACUUUUUAAAAAAAAAUCAAUUUAAAAAAAAAAAAAAAAAAAAAGAUUUUAGGUGCAAAUCUCUGAGAUGACCCGAAUGCCUUUCAGGAUCAUCUUCAUGUCCUUACUGGGUUCCUCAAGUGACUGACGCCUUCAGACCUUGAAUGUAUUUAAUGUUUUUGUUUUGUGCAGACAGAUCUGAAAUAAUAUAUAUAUAUAUAAUUGUAAUAUUUACAAAACGAUUAUUUCUAUAUUGUGUAAUUGCACAGAAUUAUAUGAUUAAUAAAUGUUGAGGUGUUUCUUUA